rnacentral:rRNA from 1 species
UACGGGGGGAGCAAGCGUUGUUCGGAUUUACUGGGCGUAAAGCGCGCGUAGGCGGCUUUGCAAGUCGGGUGUGAAAUCCCCAGGCUUAACCUGGGAACUGCAUUCGAGACUGCAUUGCUAGAGUAUGGGAGAGGGAAGUGGAAUUUCAGGUGUAGCGGUGAAAUGCGUAGAUAUCUGGAGGAGCACCAGUGGCGAAGGCGGCAUCCUGGCCCUGUCCUGACGCUCAGGGGCGAAAGCGUGGGGAGCAAACCGG